rnacentral:rRNA from 1 species
UACGGGGGGGGCAAGCGUUGUCCGGAAUUAUUGGGCGUAAAGGGCUCGUAGGCGGUUUGUCACGUCGGGAGUGAAAACUCAGGGCUUAACCCUGAGCCUGCUUCCGAUACGGGCAGACUAGAGGUAUGCAGGGGAGAACGGAAUUCCUGGUGUAGCGGUGAAAUGCGCAGAUAUCAGGAGGAACACCGGUGGCGAAGGCGGUUCUCUGGGCAUUACCUGACGCUGAGGAGCGAAAGUGUGGGGAGCGAACAGG